rnacentral:rRNA from 1 species
AGGUCCAGCCUGCCCAGUGAUAAAUUCAACGGCCGCGGUAUCCUAACCGUGCGAAGGUAGCAUAAUCACUUGUUCUUUAAAUAGGGACUCGUAUCAACGGCAUCACGAGGGUUACACUGUCUCCUUCCUCCAAUCAGUGAAACUGAUCUCCCCGUGAAGAAGCGGGGAUAAACUAAUAAGACGAGAAGACCCCAUGGAGCUUUAAAUCUCACUGCAACUCUAACACUUAAUUCCUCUACAACCCUCAGAGAAAUGCACGUCGGUUUUAGGUUGGGGUGACCGCGGAGUAAAAACUAUCCUCCACGACGAAAAGAACUAAAUCUUUAUCUAAGAGCAACCACUCUAAGAACUAGCAUACUAACGAAUAAUGACCCGAUAAUCGAUCAACGGACCAAGUUACCCUGGGGAUAACAGCGCAAUCUACUUCAAGAGCCCAUAUCGACAAGUAGGCUUACGACCUCGAUGUUGGAUCAGGGUACCCCAGUGGUGCAGCCGCUACUAACGGUUCGUUUGUUCAACGAU